rnacentral:rRNA from 1 species
GUCGAGCGGAUCGGAGGGAGCUUGCUCCCGAUGAUCAGCGGCGGACGGGUGAGUAACACGUGGGCAACCUGCCUGUAAGACUGGGAUAACUCCGGGAAACCGGGGCUAAUACCGGAUAAUUCAUCCCCUCUCAUGAGGGGAUGCUGAAAGACGGUUUCGGCUGUCACUUACAGAUGGGCCCGCGGCGCAUUAGCUAGUUGGUGAGGUAACGGCUCACCAAGGCCACGAUGCGUAGCCGACCUGAGAGGGUGAUCGGCCACACUGGGACUGAGACACGGCCCAGACUCCUACGGGAGGCAGCAGUAGGGAAUCUUCCGCAAUGGACGAAAGUCUGACGGAGCAACGCCGCGUGAGCGAAGAAGGCCUUCGGGUCGUAAAGCUCUGUUGUCAGGGAAAAACAAGUAUCGGAGUAACUGCCGGUACCUUGACGGUACCUGACCAGAAAGCCACGGCUAACUACGUGCCAGCAGCCGCGGUAAUACGUAGGUGGCAAGCGUUGUCCGGAAUUAUUGGGCGUAAAGCGCGCGCAGGCGGUCCUUUAAGUCUGAUGUGAAAGCCCACGGCUCAACCGUGGAGG